GAUAGCUCAGUGGGUAGAGCAUGAGACUCUUAAUCUCAAGGUUUGUGGGUUUGAGCCCUACGUUGCA